GAUGAACGCUGGCGGUGUGCCCAAUACAUGCAAGUCGAGCGAACAGACGAGGAGCUUACUCCUCUGACGUUAGCGGCGGACGGGUGAGUAACACGUGGAUAACCUACCUAUAAGACUGGGAUAACUUCGGGAAACCGGAGCUAAUACCGGAUAACAUGUUGAACCGCAUGGUUCAACAGUGAAAGACGGUCUUGCUGUCACUUAUAGAUGGAUCCGCGUCGCAUUAGCUAGUUGGUAAGGUAACGGCUUACCAAGGCAACGAUGCGUAGCCGACCUGAGAGGGUGAUCGGCCACACUGGAACUGAGACACGGUCCAGACUCCUACGGGAGGCAGCAGUAGGGAAUCUUCCGCAAUGGGCGAAAGCCUGACGGAGCAACGCCGCGUGAGUGAAGAAGGUCUUCGGAUCGUAAAACUCUGUUAUUAGGGAAGAACAAAUGUGUAAGUAACUAUGCACGUCUUGACGGUACCUAAUCAGAAAGCCACGGCUAACUACGUG
rnacentral:rRNA from 1 species